CCUACGGGAGGCAGCAGUGGGGAAUAUUAGACAAUGGGGGGAUCCCUGAUCCAGCGACGCCGCGUGAGUGAAGAAGUAUUUCGGUAUGUAAAGCUCUAUCAGCAGGGAAGUAAAUGACGGUACCUGACUAAGAAGCCCCGGCUAACUACGCGCCAGCAGCCGCGGUAACACGUAGGGGGCCAGCGUUAUCCGGAUUUACUGGGUGUUAAGGGAGCGUAGACGGUGCAGCAAGUCUGCUGUGAAAGGUCGGGGCACAACCCCGGGACUGCAGUGGGAACUGUUGAACUGGAGUACAGGAGAGGUAAGCGGAAUUCCUAGUGUAGCGGUGAAAUGCUUAGAUAUGAGGAGGAACACCGGUGGCGAAGGCGGCUUACUGGAGUGGAACUGACGUUGAGGCUCGAAAGCGUGGGGAGCGAACAGGAUUAGAUACCCCAGUAGUC
rnacentral:rRNA from 1 species